UCCCUAAAAUCUGAAAAGAUAUCGCAAAGCGGCAGCCUAGGUUAUAAUAACAAGAUCUCGAUGGACACGUACUCUCGCAAGCGAUCCGCCCCCAAGGAACCGUUCGAUAGUAGCCUGCUGCUAAGGAAAAAUUCAAUUACAUCAGUUCUAGGGUUAGGAUAUCUGUUGAAGGAUUCAGCCAUGGCCGUCCUACGGAUGAAAUCAAGAGUGAACUGAUUAAUCACUUCAAAUCAUGUGGCGACCUCAUUAGCGUUGAGGUUCCCACAGACCCUAUUUUAGAAAGUCGUGCUUUUGUUAAUUAUCAUGGACAUCUCGCAAAAGAGAGAGCGUUGCAACUUAAUGGAAGUGACAUUGGAAAUUGGAAGGCCCUUGUUAAGUUUGCACCCCGGGAAGAAGACCUGGAUUACUAGGUGUCAUUACGUUAUCAUAGAUCUCUGUAUUCUGACCUAGCCAAUGACGAAAGAUUUUGGUAUGGCAUUGCCGUUUUGGGUUAUGACACUUCCCUUCCUGAAGAUCAAGUCAAGAGCAUUUUGACAGAACAUUUCUCUUCUUGUGGAGUGAUAACACAUGUUUUCGUUUGUACUCCCGACGAGUGUACUAAUAUCUAUUUUUCCAAAAAAGAAGAUGAAGCUAGUGCUAUGGAUCUUAAUGGAAGUAAAGUGGGCGGAUUCAAAAUAACUACUAUGCUCU